UUAAUGUGGCGGAGCCCGGCCC
rnacentral:tRNA from 1 species